UUAUGCUUAGCCUGGUCCGGAUUCCAUUGGAAUCGUUGCUAUUUUUCAUGGUUGCACUGGUGUGGCAGCACGUGCUUGCGGCCUGGUGGGUUUAGAGCCUACAAGGGUUGCAGAAAUCCUUAAGGAUCGGCCUUCGUGGUAUCGCGAUUGCCAAGCUGUGGAUGUUCUAAAUGUGCUGUUCUAAAAAAAAUAAUGUGCCCCCUGCAAUACUACUUAGAUUCCUGCGGGAGCACAGGUCAGAAUGGGCAGACAAUAGUAUUGAUGCUUACUCAGCUGCAGCUGUUAAAGUUGGUCCCUGUAGCUUACCA